GAUGAAGAACGCAGCGAAACGCGAUAAGUAAUGUGAAUUGCAGAAUUCAGUGAAUCAUCGAAUCUUUGAACGCACAUUGCGCCCGCCAGUAUUCUGGCGGGCAUGCCUGUCUGAGCGUCAUUUCAACCCUCAUGCCCCUAGGGCGUGGUGUUGGGGAUCGGCCAAAGCCCGCGAGGGACGGCCGGCCCCUAAAUCUAGUGGCGGACCCGUCGUGGCCUCCUCUGCGAAGUAGUGAUAUUCCGCAUCGGAGAGCGAUGAGCCCCUGCCGUUAAACCCCCAACUUUCCAAGGUUGACCUCAGAUCAGGUAGGAAUACCCGCUGAACUUAAGCAUAUCAAUAAGCGGAGGA
rnacentral:misc_RNA from 1 species